GUUUUGAUACCUAGAAAAAUACACCAAAACUCAGACGUCGUCCUUAUUUUGAAGCGAACAUGUCGGCAUUUCUCUUGAAUAAUGAUCACAUCAAAAUUUAUUAUGUCAACGUUGAAUUUAAACAUUUUUCUCACCAUUGGAUAUGAACUGUAAAUGGCUUGUUAGAAGAGCAUGGACAUAUAUUAACCUAUGAUUUUCUUUUUAAAAGAAUGUAUAACUCAACAGCCAAGUUCUUCCAGUUUUUAAGGGCAUAUAAUUGUACUCAAAAGUGAUUGCAAGCCAUUGGAAACAACAUAUAAAGAGGAAAAUAUCAAUAAGCUUUUAUUAGGUCAGAUAAGGGUUCUAAGGAAAUUUAUACUUUUUCAAACUAGGGUAAUAGACCUACAGAUUUUGCAGCAGAAACAAUGGAAAGGAAAUUUUAAAUAAUGUUAUUGGAAAUAAGAUUUAAAUACAAUUUUAUCUUCCCAAGGUUUGACAAAACGCUACGCU
rnacentral:lncRNA from 1 species